CAGAGAGUAAGGACAGUGCAGAGAGCAGGAACAACGUGGCUAGAAUCUAGUAAAUGCAUGUGAAAUUCUACCAUAGAGUUUGUUUUCAAUCCACGUGGAUGGGAGGGUGCGAGGGAGGGGAACAUUAUUACAGUCCCCCAGGGGUGUCUCCUCCUCU